rnacentral:lncRNA from 1 species
AGACACCCAACAUUUCAACCGAGACAGACAACGUGAGCCAAACAGAAAAUCAAAUUGAAGACUGUUAGGAGUUUAAUUAUCUACUACACGCUACAAGCUAAAGGUAAACAUUCUUCUUGCUGAUUUUAUUACUCAUGCUGUAUUUAUAACAUGGAAUUUGAUAAUAAAGCUGAAUUUCAAUAAUUAUCCAGCUGCCCUGUAACUAACUUGAAAAGGGAACUAUAACAGAAUUGGUUAUUGUCUCAAACCAAUUUCCUAUAACAGAAUUGUAAUUGCUAUUAUCCUAAUAUCUACUCAGCAAGAAUAUACUGUGUGAUUCAGACAUAAUCUUGAUAGUGGGCUGGUUUCUUGGUAUCUCUCUUGGGACUAUCCCUGGUGGGUGCUUCUUUGCUGAUCUGCGUUCCAUUGCUAACAACACAUGAUAGACAAAUCCACAAAAUUGGAUGUGUCGUUUUCCUAUCAGCAUUUUUUGUCUAAUAAGAAAGAUGAGCAACAGUGGCAGGGGAUACUGAAUUGUGGCCAUCUGUCUCUAUUCAAAUUUUUAGAUGACCCAAUUGACGUUAGUAGGUCGUGUCUCUAAAAAAGGAAGUAAAGUCCAAAAACAUUAAGUGUGAAAAUAUAAUUUAUUAUAUUUUUUUAGAUCUAA